AAAAAAAAAAAACAUUCAUGAAAGUACACGACAAAACUGGCUUGGUUUUAUAGGGUGAAUUUCAUGGGCGUAUUCAGUUUUACAGGUGAUUGCAUAUUUCAAAUUUUAGCAUGACCAGGUGGUUACAAGGAUGAUCUAGAUCUAUUAUAUCACAUGGGAAGGAAACGAUUUGAGUUUAGUGCAACAGGUGGGGCUACCCUCUUGAUUACGAGCACUCAUGGUAGGGUGAAUAUCUGUAGAGGGUCUUCUGAUGUCAACUGACUCGCAUGGAAUACAGGUGAACUAACAUGUGGGCAUUCAAAAAGAUGGUGGUUGUGACUGUAGAGCCUGAACAUGUAAUUGCCGAUCCGCAUGAAGAUACUGUACAAACAACUAUCAAUGGCUGUCAGAGAGAGAUAUAGGGGCAUGUUCAUUUCACAACCAACAAUAUGUUAAGAGUUGCAAAACGACAUACUUCACUUAUGUGUAUCAUCCAAAGUAAUAGGCACAACUGUACAAGUACAUUAUGUGGUUUACACCGAUAAAUAUGGUGGACAUGUUUUCUACAGUAAACAGUUUAUAUGCCCAACUUGAGUUCCCAUAUCAUCUUUGUCAUCAAUUAAGUUAAAGAGGUAGCACACUACUUGAUUUUCUAUGACAUAAGAGGUGUAAAGACCAUGAAGAAGGGCGAAGUUUCAUUGCUAAGCAUUCAUACAAAAUAUGGAUUCGGUCUUUGACUAAAUCAAUUCAAGACUCUGCUACUGUUUCUGCAAAUUGUACCAUGUAUUAUGAUGUCGAGUUGGUCUUAUUUAAAGUGAUUAUGCUUGUAGGUAGAUUUUGUACACAGGUCGAAACAAUUUUUUUGGCAAGUUUUAAGAGUUGUAAUGAAUUAUGUCUGCAUGGUUGAGAUGUUGGCUCGGAAAAUGAUGUUUGGUCU
rnacentral:lncRNA from 1 species